UAUUGCUUAUUUUAAAAAAGAAUAAUAGUACUGCUCUCUAAUUUGGCGACUGACCACACAUCUGGUCUUCAUUUCAGGAAACCAUUUUGGUGUUGAUCUGAUGCAUAGGAAAGCGGAGUUGAAGGCUAUUAUCACUGAUGUAAUAAAUAACAUGAGUGAUGAGGAAGAUGGUGAUGACUCUGAAGCUGAGAAAGAUGAAAAUAAUGAAGGCGGUGACCCUGAGGCUGAGAAUGAUGAAAAAAAUGAGGGUGAUGAUCCUGAGACUGAGAAUGAUGAAGAAAAAAUUGAAGGUGAUGACCCUGAGGCUGAGUGCGAUGAAGACAAAAAUGAAGUUGAUGAUAGUGAUGCUUAGUUUACGAGUCAAGUAGAAGGAUAGGUAUUAGGUGCU
rnacentral:lncRNA from 1 species